rnacentral:rRNA from 1 species
UACGUAGGGGGCAAGCGUUAUCCAGAAUUACUGGGUGUAAAGGGAGAGUAGGCGGCAUGGUAAGUUAGAUGUGAAAGCCCGGGGCUUAACCUCGGGAUUGCAUUUAAAACUAUCAAGCUAGAGUACAGGAGAGGUAAGUGGAAUUCCUAGUGUAGCGGUGAAAUGCGUAGAUAUUAGGAAGAACAUCAGUGGCGAAGGCGACUUACUGGACUGAAACUGACGCUGAGGCUCGAAAGCGUGGGGAGCGAACAGGAUUAGAUACCCUGGUAGUCCACGCCAUAAACGAUGAGUGCUAGGUGUCGGGGGGGAACCCUCGGUGCCGCAGCUAACGCAAUAAGCACUCCACCUGGGGAGUACGACCGCAAGGUUGAA